rnacentral:rRNA from 1 species
UACGGGGGGGGGUAAGCGUUGUUCGGAAUUACUGGGCGUAAAGGGCUCGUAGGCGGCCAACUAAGUCAUACGUGAAAUCCCUCAGCUUAACUGGGGAACUGCGUGUGAUACUGGAUGGCUUGGAUUUGGGAGAGGGAUGCGGAAUUCCAGGUGUAGCGGUGAAAUGCGUAGAUAUCUGGAGGAACACCGGUGGCGAAGGCGGGUCUCUGGGCCGAUACUGACGCUGAGGAGCGAAAGCGUGGGAGCGAACAGG